rnacentral:rRNA from 1 species
CCUACGGGCGGCUGCAGUGGGGAAUAUUGGACAAUGGGCGAAAGCCUGAUCCAGCCAUGCCGCGUGUGUGAAGAAGGCCUUCGGGUUGUAAAGCACUUUCAGUGGGGAAGAAAGCCUUGGGGCUAAUACCCUCGAGGAAGGACAUCACCCACACAAGAAGCACCGGCUAACUCCGUGCCAGCAGCCGCGGUAAUACGGAGGGUGCGAGCGUUAAUCGGAAUUACUGGGCGUAAAGCGCGCGUAGGCGGUCUGAUAAGCCGGUUGUGAAAGCCCCGGGCUCAACCUGGGAACGGCAUCCGGAACUGUCAGGCUAGAGUGCAGGAGAGGAAGGUAGAAUUCCCGGUGUAGCGGUGAAAUGCGUAGAGAUCGGGAGGAAUACCAGUGGCGAAGGCGGCCUUCUGGACUGACACUGACGCUGAGGUGCGAAAGCGUGGGUAGCAAACAGGAUUAGAUACCCGAGUAGUC